UACGGAGGGGGCGAGCGUUAUUCGGAAUUAUUGGGCGUAAAGGGCGCGUAGGCGGCUGGGCAAGUCAAAGGUGAAAUCCCUCGGCUCAACUGAGGAACUGCCUUUGAAACUGCCUGGCUUGAGGCCGGGAGGGGGUAGCGGAAUUCCCAGUGUAGCGGUGAAAUGCGUAGAUAUUGGGAGGAACACCAGUGGCGAAGGCGGCUACCUGGACCGGUUCUGACGCUGAUGCGCGAAAGCGUGGGGAGCGAACAGG
rnacentral:rRNA from 1 species